GACGAACGCUGGCGGCGUGCCUAAUACAUGCAAGUUGAGCGCUGAAGGUUGGUACUUGUACCAACUGGAUGAGCAGCGAACGGGUGAGUAACGCGUGGGGAAUCUGCCUUUGAGCGGGGGACAACAUUUGGAAACGAAUGCUAAUACCGCAUAAAAACUUUAAACACAAGUUUUAAGUUUGAAAGAUGCAAUUGCAUCACUCAAAGAUGAUCCCGCGUUGUAUUAGCUAGUUGGUGAGGUAAAGGCUCACCAAGGCGAUGAUACAUAGCCGACCUGAGAGGGUGAUCGGCCACAUUGGGACUGAGGCACGGUCCAAACUCCUACGGGAGGCAGCAGUAGGGAAUCUUCGGCAAUGGACGAAAGUCUGACCGAGCAACGCCGCGUGAGUGAAGAAGGUUUUCGGAUCGUAAAACUCUGUUGGUAGAGAAGAACGUUGGUGAGAGUGGAAAGCUCAUCAAGUGACGGUAACUACCCAGAAAGGGACGGCUAACUACGUG
rnacentral:rRNA from 1 species